rnacentral:rRNA from 1 species
UACGUAGGGUGCGAGCGUUAAUCGGAAUUACUGGGCGUAAAGCGUGCGCAGGCGGUUUUGUAAGCCAGAUGUGAAAUCCCCGGGCUUAACCUGGGAAUGGCAGUGGAAACUAGAGAACUUGAAUCUGGCAGAGGGGGGUGGAAUGCCACGUGUAGCAGUGAAAUGCGUAGAUAUGUGGCGGAACACCGAUGGCGAAGGCAGCCCCCUGGGCUGAGAUUGACGCUCAGGCACGAAAGCGUGGGGAGCAAACAGG